rnacentral:lncRNA from 1 species
AUUGCAAUGUUUGUGAGCUUAGUUUGUUGUUACUUAGCAGCGUAAUCCAAUUAUGUAUCUGAUCAUUAUGAUUUUGUCUUUGACUAGGUUUUAUCUUUGUGCUAUAGAUCAUUGUGAUUUUGCCUUUAAGUCAUGGCAUGUUGCAACGUUUAGUUCUUCUCCUUUUAGUAUCAUUCCUCUUUUCUAACACAAUUAUGAUCUUGGUACAUAAUAUAAUGACUUUUUGUAAGAAACGCAAGUGCGGAUGAUUAUGAGAUUAUAAGUUUUGGUUUUUUUUUUUGAGGAGUUAGGCUUUUUUUGAGCAAGAGAAGUUAACAUACUAAUUAUUGAAUUCCAAGAGUUCUUCUCUU